UGAGGAAUAUUGGUCAAUGGUCGGGAGACUGAACCAGCCAAGCCGCGUGAGGGAUGAAGGUACAGAGUAUCGUAAACCUCUUUUGUCAGGGAACAAAGGCGGGGACGUGUCCCCGGAUGAGUGUACCUGAAGAAAAAGCAUCGGCUAACUCCGUGCCAGCAGCCGCGGUAAUACGGAGGAUGCGAGCGUUAUCCGGAUUUAUUGGGUUUAAAGGGUGCGCAGGCGGUCUGUUAAGUCAGCGGUCAAAGCCCGGGGCUCAACCCCGGCCCGCCGUUGAAACUGGCAGUCUCGAGUUGGAGAGAA
rnacentral:rRNA from 1 species